rnacentral:rRNA from 1 species
GAUGAACGCUGGCGGCGUGCCUAAUACAUGCAAGUCGAGCGAACAGACGAGGAGCUUGCUCCUCUGACGUUAGCGGCGGACGGGUGAGUAACACGUGGAUAACCUACCUAUAAGACUGGGAUAACUUCGGGAAACCGGAGCUAAUACCGGAUAAUAUAUUGAACCGCAUGGUUCAAUAGUGAAAGACGGUUUUGCUGUCACUUAUAGAUGUAUCCGCGCCGCAUUAGCUAGUUGGUAAGGUAACGGCUUACCAAGGCGACGAUGCGUAGCCGACCUGAGAGGGUGAUCAGCCACACUGGAACUGAGACACGGUCCAGACUCCUACGGGAGGCAGCAGUAGGGAAUCUUCCGCAAUGGGCGAAAGCCUGACGGAGCAACGCCGCGUGAGUGAUGAAGGUCUUCGGAUCGUAAAACUCUGUUAUUAGGGAAGAACAAAUGUGUAAGUAACUAUGCACGUCUUGACGGUACCUAAUGAGAAAGCCACGGCUAACUACGUG